CAGAGCCCUCAUGACUUAAUCACAUCCCAAAAGGCUCCACCUAUUAAUACCAUCACAAUGGGGAUAGGUUUCAGCAUCAAUUUUGGAGGGACACAUUUAGACCAUAACACAUAGUAUCUCUAAACUUCUCCUAAUUUUUUUAAAAUGUAAAAUGUAAGUCUUCCCGUUUCAAUGACAAUACACAGGAAAUGUCACCAUUAAAUGGUAGUUCUUAAUUUUGCCAGCACAUUUGGAGGUUUUGUUUUGUUUUACUUUUAAUACCAGUGCUUGGGCCCUUCUCCAGGCCAACUGAGUCAGAAUUUUUAGGGUUAGGCUUGAAUAUCCACACCCUGCCCCCACCCAGCCUUUUAGAGCAAUGGUUCUCAAACUUAAAGUGUGCAUCUCAGAAUCACCUCGAAGAUUUGAAAUUCAGAUUGCAGGGCUCCACCCCCCAGAAUUUCUGACUCAGUGGGUCUGGUGUGGAGCCCAAGAAUUUGCAUGUCUAACAAGUUACAGAUGAUGCUGGUGUCACUGGCACUGGACCACAUUUAGCAAACCACUACCACAGCAGAUCCUAAAAAUAAAUCACAACAUUUGACAUCCAUGAUCUGCUUAUUCCUCUUGCAAAAUGAGACACCAUAACUUUGCAUUUUUCCUGUGAAUUCUCUGGUUGAUUAGGUAAAAAUGCUCAAUAUGGGUUCUUUUUUUUUUUUUUUACUUUUGGUAUAUUAAAUUUUUCUAUCUUUCAGGGUUUUGUCUAUGGCCAGCUUCUCUUUACAUGUCACCUAACUUUCCUUCUGGGUGAUCUUAUAGAUUUACAUAGUUUAUUUCAUCUAAAUGCUGAUUAUUCAAAAAUCUAUCUGUCCAGUUGGAUUUCUCUCCCGAGCUUCACAUCUGUAUAUUCUACUGGUUACUUGACAUAUCCAUGAAGAUGUUCCCCAAAAAGCUACAGUCAGCGUGUCUACAUCUGAGAUGUAUUUCAGCCUCAAGGUCCCCUUUCUUUGUGAAUAAUACCAAGAUGUAUCCUAUUUUUUCAAGCCAGAAACCUGCACGUCGACUUUGCUUUCUCUUCCUUAUCCCUCUUUCAAAAUGGUCCCCAAAGCCUACAAAUACUAUCUCCUUAAUAUCUCUCAAGUCCAUUUCACUCCAUUUAUGCCACUGUGUAUUUUAUAUUACUUUUGCACCAACCUAAACCUCUGACUGAAUGCUCCAAUGAGAUGAUUUCAUUUUAUAAAAUCUAAAGCUGGAACUGUAUCAUUGGUGAGAAGGAAUACAAACUAAUUUAUUAUGGAUACCUCUUAUACCACCCAUGAACCAGCACUCUCCAGCAUGCUAGUGUGAGAGAGAUUCUUAAUUUGAGCUAGUGUGUCCUGCACUGGAAUGCUGGCUCUUUGGGGAAAGCCUGGAGUAGGUCCAACAGAGGUCUGUUUGCAUGAAUGGCCAAGGAAGCUUCUGGGAAAGAAUUCACUGGAAGAGAAGAGAAUCUGAAAGAGAGAGUCAUGGAGGGAAGUUGCCUGAGCAACCAAAACUCAGUUAUUGAGAAAAGGAAACUAUUACAUAUAGCAGAUGAUUUUUUUUAUUUUAUUAUUAUUAUCCUUUAAGUUUUAGGGUACAUGUGCACAAUGUGCAGGUUAGUUACAUAUGUAUACAUGUGCCAUGCUGGUGUGCUGCACCCAUUAACUCGUCAUUUAGCAUUAGGUAUAUCUCCUAAUGCUAUCCCUCCCCCCUCCCCCCACCCCACAACAGUCCCCAGAGUGUGAUGUUCCCCUUCCUGUGACCAUGUGUUCUCAUUGUUCAGUUCCCACCUAUGAGUGAGAACAUGUGGUGUUUGGUUUUUUGUCCUUGCGAUAGUUUACUGAGAAUGAUGAUUUCCAGUUUCAUCCAUGUCCCUACAAAGGACAUGAACUCAUCAUUCUUUAUGGCUGCAUAGUAUUCCAUGGUGUAUAUGUGCCACAUUUUCUUAAUGCAGUCUAUCAUUGUUGGACAUUUGGGUUGGUUCCAAAUCUUUGCUUUUGAGAAUAGUGCCGC
rnacentral:lncRNA from 1 species